UAACAUAUGCUUGUCUCAAAGAUUAAGCCAUGCAUGUGUGCGAAAAACCAUGUUUUUUCGGCGAUUCUGCGUACAGCUCAUUAAAUCAGUUAUAAUUUCUGUGAGGAUCGGAGUUUGAUUACUUAAACGGAUAACCGGAGUAAUUCUCGAGCUAAUACGUGCGUAGGGGGUGGGCGAGUUGGUUGUUUGAACUAGCGAGCUCAUCUGUGCUGAUUAGAUUCGGUGUAGGUUGUGGCACCUGUUUGAUGGUGAGACGACUCAUAGUCAUCGUUCGGAU
rnacentral:rRNA from 1 species